rnacentral:lncRNA from 1 species
CUUGAUAACUAGAAAGUCCCAAUGUGUGCCAACCUCCGUGCUCCGUGGCAAGGCAGACUGGCAAAAAUGCCCAACCUUUACUCACAUUCGAGAAAACACUCCCAACAUGAUUACUUUCUCAAAAUUCUCAAAAAUUGAAGAGACACUGCUUUCCAAAUCUCAAGAGUCAGACUCCCAACAGGAUUGCUUGCUCAAAAAUCGAAGAGGCACCGCCCUCCGAAUCUCGAGAGCCAGACUUCCAACAGGAUUACUUUCUCAAAAAUUGAAGAGACACUGCUUUCCGAAUCUCAAGAGUCAGACUCCCAACAGGAUUGCUUUCUUAAAAAUCGAAGAGGCACCACUCUCCGAAUCUCGAAAGCCAGACUCCCAACAAGAUUGCUUGCUCAAAAAUCGAAGAGGCACCGCCCUCCGAAUCUCGAGAGCUAGACUCCCAACAGGAUUACUUUCUAAAAAAUCGAAGAGACACUGCUCUCCGAAUCUCAAGAGUCAGACUCUUAACAAGAUUGCUUUCUAAAAAAUCGAAGAGGCACCACUAUCCGAAUAUCGAGAGCUAGACUCCUAACAGGAUUACGUGCUUAAAAAUUGAAGAGGCACCGCCCUUCAAAUCUCGAGAGCCAAACUCCCAACAAGAUUGCUUUCUCAAAAAUCGAAGAGGCACAGUUCUCUGAAUCUCGAAAGCAGAUCCCCGACAGGAUUGUUUGUUUGAAAACCGAAAAGGCAUCGCUCUCCAAACUUCGAGAGCCAGAUUUCCUUGGAUAAAACUUAUCUGCAAUCUUCACACGCAACAUCAGCUUUCUAGAUACCACAUACCACUUUUUCAAAGUGCUCUGACAAAGUUAAAACAUAUGAAGCUUGCAGCUCCCAUUACAUUGCUAUGACCAAGAAGGGUAAAGGAAUAGCAUUACUACUUGUUGUUAGGGAAACUCCUAUAUAUGUCGACCUCAAUCCUUCACAGCCAGGUAAACCUGCAAAUAAAAAAAAAUGCUCAACUUUUCUUCACAUCCGAGAGGGCACUCUCAGCAGAGUCUCUCGAAAUACUCAGCUUCUUUUCCUCCCGAUAAUACCUCUGCAAACAAGCCACACCAGAGCAAAAGUAUCUCAUAUCAUCAGGGUUAAAAGCAAGAGUAUCCCAUAUCAUGCUUUUUCCCUGUCUUUUCCUUUGGCCUUGUUCUUACCUGCAAGACAAGGAGAAAGAGAGCAAUCAGUCAGCACUUGGAAUCAAGCUUCCUAGUCAGGAACUGACUGCCUGGAACCCCUUGCCUGAUUACUUACCUGGCAUUGCUCUCGAGUACUCAUCUUCAACAUCUUAUGCUUCCAGAGAAGAUACCACAUCUGCCUGAGGAACAGAUAGGGCAAGUGAGAAGGAUACAAGGAAGCAUGUGGAGACAAGCGUAACAGAACACGUGCCGAUACAUCCACUACUUUGUCAAAAGCAAAAGUAUCCUAUAUCAUCAGGGUCGAACGUACUUUAGAUUUGAUGGACUUGUUUUGACCCUCAAAUUCUUGAGUCGGCCUUAUACUCUGGAGGAAACCAGAAAACCCUCCAGCCCAGUUCAAGAAUAAGCCUGUGGAAAGUUACUUCUUCAAAAGCAAAAGUAUCUCAUAUCAUCUCUUCUCCAUUUGCUUCUCCUUAUCCUUGUUGCUGUUUACGACACAAGGAGAAGGAGAACAAUCAACCGGAAGCCGAAGUCGAACCUCCGAUCCAGGUUGCUUGCUUGGAAGUCUGAUUGCUUACCUUGUCUGUUACCUUAUUCGGCAAAUCUCCUAGCUCGGCGACUUGGGGGACUCCUACUAUAGGGUUUGUAUCGCACUUGACCAAGCCCGAAACUACAAGUAAGCUUCAAGUGAAAUUGAUACAUUACCUUGUGCAUCUUCAUCGGUUAAAGAUACCAUCCCUGGAUGGAGGAAAAGUACUUCCAGAGAAGAUGCCACAUCUACAUAUGAGACAGAUAAGGCAAGUGAAAAUGAUACCACACUUCGGUACUUAGAAGUUUCGUGAUUACUCAAUGGCUUGGAUCUUGCAAGUCCCCAACUGAGGAGUUUUCCUUACUCGGGAACUUAGGGGAGCACUAUUUGUACCAUACUUGACCAAUCCCAAAACUACUGAGUAUUGGUCAACGUUAUACCGUCAAUGACCCAGAAGAGUUUCCCUCAAACCAGAAGGCCAAUCACAUCGCGACAUGUGUCGACAUCAGAAGCCAGUUAUAGCGCGACACGUGUCAACAUCAGAAGCCAAUCACAACACGACACGUGUCAAUGUCAAAACGAAACUAGAAACUCUUUUCUAUAAAUAGAGAUCAUUCUCUCACAAUAUUUCCUAAUGUCAUUUGUACUAAAUCAUUCACUUGUACUCACUAAAGGAAAGCUUGAACCUAUGUACUUGUGUAAACCCUUCACAAUUAAUGAGAACUCUUCUACUCCGUGGACGUAGCCAAUCUGGGUGAACCACGUACAUCUUAUGUUUGCUUCCCUAUCUCUAUCCAUUUACAUACUUAUCCAUACUAGUGACCGGAGCAAUCUAGCGAAGGUCACAAACUUAACACUUUCUGUUGUACCAAAAUCCUCACUGAUUUUGUGCAUCAAUAGGUUAUGUAGGAUGGUUGACUGUUGACCAAGGGUUGACUUUUAGUCAAAAUGUUUUAAAUCGUUCUUAGAUACUAAAUUUAGCAUUACUAGAGUCAUGAUAAAGCAAAGUGGACCUACUUUGUUUAGCAUGUCAUCUUAUGAGAUAUGCACCUCAAGUUGCUUGUUAGUGACGCCUUACCGGGAUACACGUGGUUAUUAGACUUCUAUAUAUGGGUGACUUUAAUAUAUUUGGUACAGUUAUUACCUUGAAAAUCCUCAUUCUAGUAUACUUAAUGGGUAUGACAUGAAUUUAUAAAAUGUGUUUGCUACUAAAUAGUUACUUUUAACUUCAGUCCUCGAUCUAUUUUAUGAAAUGAGGUUUGCUAUGCAUAUUUGAAAUGUUUAUGAAACUUGAGGGCUAAUAGAGGACCGUUAACCAUUUUUAGGGAAAGGUGUAACAUCAAACAUGUGUCAUGUCUAGUUCCAUUAAGAUCUUUUAAACUAGGUUCCGUUAAGUGGUUUGGGACAAUGCUUCGCUUGGGUUUUGAUUGGUGGUCUUCAACCCUAUUUUCAUUAGAUUUUGGUUUAGUGGUCUGAAAUCCUUUUUCCCUAUCUAUUUUGUUGAGUGGUCCGAAAACCUUCUCUGUUUGGAUUCCGUUACAUGGUGUGAUACCCCUUCCUAAAUUUGUCGUAUUUUAUUGUAUUGAAUGUAUGAAAUUACCAAAUUACCCUUAAGGCAUGAACGUUGACUUUCAUUGACCCUCUCGUCGAAAUGCAUAUGACUAAUUUUGUUUUUUUUAAUUAUUCUUAACGUACCCAUUGCCACGAACUUGUAGUCGUGAACGGAUUCGAAUUUGGAAUUAUAACGAAAAUUUUACGUUAUGAAACGUCGAAUGUUUUUCGGAUAUUUUGCGUUUCGUCUCUUAUGACCUUAAUUUAUAAGCCAAUGGAACCCACUUUGGAUCCUUAUCCCCUUGUUCUUCCUCCUUACCCGUGAGCCCCCAUCCCCUUUAUGUUUUCUGUUAACUCUCUCUAUCACUCUCUCUCUCAAAACUCUCUCCCUCUCUACACUCUCGGCCCUAACUCUCUAUAUCACUUUCCUUCUCAAAACUCUCUCCCUCUCUACACUCUCGGCCCUCUCAUUUCUCUCUCAAACCAGCCAUUCCUAAGGGCACCACACAUAACAACAACAAACAACAAUGACAACACCUCCCACCACCUAAUAACCCUAGUUAUGAACCCAUAAACUAAUGAGAAACACCUCAAAACACCUCCUCAAUUGCUGCACAGUGCAUUUCCACUGUUCACCGAGUUUUCCGAUGAGUUUCCCCAUUCUCUGGCUAAGGUAAGCCUUGAACCUCGUCCAAAAGUUGUAGAUCGUGUCUUGGUGUAUGUUUGGAAGUAGUUUUGAGAAGUUUUGGUGAUAUUUAGACAUAGGAAACUCAUGGAGAAAGCUUCCCCAAUUUUCAGGCAAUGACCACCACAUUCAAGGUAUUUUCCAGCCAAACUACAGCGAGUUAGUUGUUAAAAAAUAUACCAUUCUCUUCAUCUCAUUAAGAAGCAUAAUUUUCAUUUUUGAAUCACUCGAUUUCGUUGAGUAUGGGAGAAGUUAUGAACGUUUAAAGUUUACCCAGUUUCUGACGAGUUCCCCAGUUUUCAUACGGACCAGUUAACUUUUAGGCCAUUUUCUGGCCAACUCCGACCACCACUAAUGCUAACAUCCAAUUGAUAAAGAGGAAUUUGAAGAUGGCGCAAGAUCAAUAGAAUAGCAUCGUUGAUCGACAUUCUAGGGAUCAUGAGUAUAAGAUUGGUGAUUUUGUCUUUCUAAAGUUAUCACCCUGAAAGGGUGUGGUUCAUUUUGGUAAACGAGGGAAGUUGAGUCCUCGAUAUGUUGGCCCUCACAAAAUUACAGAAAGGAUUAACGCGGUUGCUUAUAGAUUGGAGUUACCACUAGAGUUUUCGCAGAUACACGAUAUAUUGCAUGCUUCCAUGAUUUGGAAGUACGUACCGUAUCCAUCUCACGUUUUGCAGUGGCAACCGUUAAAAGUGAGUCAGGACAUGAGCUAUGUUAAGGAGCCAAUAGCGAUUAUUGAUUGACAUGAUAAAACACUGAGAAACAAGGUCGUUUUGUUGGUAAAGGUGUUAUGGAGGAACCACGUAGUAGAGGAAGCGACGUGGGAAACAGAAGAACUGAUGAGAAGUUAAUAUCCGCACAUGUUUACUUGAAGUAGCAAAUUUCGAGGACGAAAUUCUCUAAAGGGGGUAGAUUGUGAUACCCCGUCCUAAAUUUGUCGUACUUUAUUAUAUCAAACGUAUGAAAUUACCAAAUUACCCUUGAGGCAUGAAAGUUGACUUUUGUUGACCGUCUUGUUGAAACGUGUAUGACUUAUUUUCUUAGUUAUUCUUAAUGUACUCAUCGCCAUGAACGUGUGGGCAUGAAUGAAUUCAAAUUUGGAAUUAUAACGAAGAUUUUACAUUAUGAAACGUCAAACGUUUUUUGGCUAUUUCGCGUUUCGUCUUUGUGACCUUAAUUUGUGAGCCAAUAAGACCCACUUUGGAUCCUUGUCCCUUUGUUCUUCCCCCUCACCCAUGAGCCAUCCCUUCCCUUUAUGCUUUCUAUCAACUAUUUCUCUCAAAACUCUCUCCCUUUAUACUUCUCGGCCCUCUUCUUUCUCUCUCAAAUCAACCCUCCUUGAGGGCACCACACACAACAACAACAAUGACAACACCUCACACCACCCAACAACCCUAGUUGUGAACCUAAAACAAACAAGAAACACCCUAAAACACCUCAUCAAUCGCUGCACAAUGCAAUUCAACUGUUCACCGAGUUUUUCGACGAGUUUGCACAUUCUUUAGUGAAAGUAAGCCUUGAACCUCAUCCAAAAGUUGUAGAUCGUGUCUUGGUGUAUGUUUGGAAGUAGUUUUGAGAAGUUUUGAUGAUGUUUAGACAUAGGAAACUCACGAGAAAGCUUCCCCAGUUUUCGGGCGAUGACCGCCAAGUUCGAGGCAUUUUUCGGCUAAACUAUGGUGAGUUAGCGUCGAAAAAUGUACCAUUCUUUUCGUCUUGUUGAGAAGUAUGAUUUUCGUUUUUAAAUCACUCGAUUUUGUUAAGUAUUAAAGAAGUUAUGAACAUUUACAAUUUACCCAGUUUCUGGUGAAUUCCCCAAUUUUCAUACUAACCAGUCAACUUUCAAGUCAUUUUUCGGCAAACUCUAGCCACCACUCGGUCCUGACUUGGUAUGAAUCUCUUCUCCAUAUUCCUAACUACAUUUUGGCUUUUGAAUCACUUGAUUUGGACUUGUAUCAAGCUCGAAAUUGGCUCUUGCAGUUAAGGGAAAAAUCUGGGAUUAUUCUAGAAAUUCAAAGGUCGACGUGUGGAGUGCACGCGCCUCCGCCGAAGGUACUGUGCUUUGUCGCUGACCACGGCGGUGCCAGCCAACUUUCCGGCAACCCAUCUCGAUGUGUGGCCUCCUAGGCCGCUGCCGUAUAGCAGUGUAUGCGGUGGCGUGUGGGGGAACCUGAGGUCCCCCCUUAGGUUUUUCGACGUUCGUUUUCCCAAAUUCAAUCAUUUUAGUAAAGUUUUAUUAAUUGGUCCUUUUUUGUGCUUAGGUGCGUUUGUUAGUGGCGUUUCCGUCCUCCCUAGUUCGAAUUGCUCUUCGGCGACAAAGUAUCUGUGAAUGGACCAUUUCCAAAAUGCAUGAUUUUAAUUACUAGAAAUGCAUACAUGAAAAGCAUGAUUUUGUGACUACAUUUUAUGGAACGUUUAUGAAUAAAUCGGAUUUAUGCUUCAUGAAAUAUCAUGCUUUAUCGAAUGUUACUAAGAUAUUAAUGAAUAUGAUUUAUGAUAUGAUGUUUGAGCUAUUGAGCUCUGAUACGAUAUUUUUCAGAAAAGUUACGUUCAUGAUUUUUUGUGCUUACUUAGUGCACGUUCAUUUAUAUACGCCUUCGGGAGGGCGAUGUAGGGCAUUUGGUCGGGAUAUGUAGUGCCUUCGGGAGGAAGAUAUUUGAUUAUGCCUUAGGGCAUGCAGGCAAUAUAGUGCCUUCAGGCGGGCGGGCAAUGUAGUGCCUUCGGGCGGAAGAUAUUGAUAUAUAUGCCUUCGGGUAGGCAAUGUCGUGUCAGCGGGCGAUUGUGAUACCACUACUAAGCACACUAUAUACAAUAUAUGUUUUAUGAAGGUUUUAUGGCAUGCUAGGAUUUUCGGAAAACCUAUUACUUAUUAUGUUAUAUGAGUUUUCUAAACUGAGGUUUAGUAUGUUGAAGAAUAAAUAUUUUAGUUUACUUAUAUAUAAACUUGGUCCACUCAUAUUUUCUUUUGCGCCUCUUCAAUACCUAGGAACGAGGCAUACGACCCGAGCUACGAGGCAUUCCCAUAUCAGUGAAUUUGCAUCAUCCCCUAUGCGUAGGACAUCUCUUGUAAUUGCACUUUCUAAUAUUCCUUCCGUUUGUACUUUGAAUUAGUAGUAUGCUCUGAACAUGUCAUGCAUUAUCACUUUUACAUAGUUGGCAGUUGAAUGUUAUAUUUUAUUAAGGUUUGUACUUGAAUACUUUACUACGUAGUUACUCGCGAAAUUAUUAUGCAUGUUUCACAUGUUCUCAGCAUAUGCAUUUAUAACAUGGCUUGCAUCACCAUUGGGUGUAGGCCAACACAUGGCCAUCCCAUUGUCCUUUGGACACCGGGAUUGGGGCGUGUCAAAUGGUCCGGAAUCCCUUUCCUUAUUCGGUUCGGUUAAGUGGCAGGGAUUCCUCUUUCGUUUAGAUUAAGUUGAGUGGUCCAGAAUCUCUUUCCUUAUUCGGUUCCGUUGAGUGGUCCGGAACCUUAUCUUCAUUGUAUUCUGUUGAGUGGUCAUAUAUCCCACUUUCUAUUGGUUCCAUUGAGUUGGUUUGAAAUCCUAGAUUCUUGUGAAUAAUAGUUGCUCAAAUUUUAUGCUUAUUUUUGUAACUUAGGGUUACAAUGUGUUAGAACAAAUCAAAUGUCAACACCCAAACCUCCAUUUGUAAGUCCCAAGGUCCAUAGCUUUGGCCUAAUUCUUUUCAAACCAUAAAGGAGGGAAAAGACUUAUAAAGUGGACUUCCACCAUGUGUUUGGGCGAUGUGGGACUAAGUCCCACUCACAAGUUCCAACAAUACCCCACAUUUUCUAUUCAAAUGCUAGCAAUACCCCACAUUUGAAUAGAAAAUAAGAUACUAACUAAAUCAGUAACAUCGUUCCAGAGAACUGAGAUAUGAUAUGCAUCGAGAUAGGUAUCUUUUGGACUUGAACCGUCUCUAGUGAGUACUUAUCGGAUUUACCUAAUGAAGCAGUGAAUUUAAUAUCUUGAACCGAUCAUUGUAAGUGGUAAAUCGAAACAAUAAGUAUCACACAUAUCACAUUUUGACACACUUCAAUUCAUACGGUUGUGUUCAUUUUGAUCCUGAACAGAUCCUGAUUUCAUGAGACCUGUAAAGAAUUGUAGCCAUAUCAAAUCUCAAAAAUGCGACCCCACAUCAAUCUCAUAUAGGUAAUGCUAACUAAGAAUAGCUUGUUCUAUUCAUCUUAACUAUAAGAUAUUAGCAUUAUUAAGAAUAAUGAUUCACCCUUUACGUCUUACAAGUAACACACUGUUUGCCAUCAUAGGAAUAAGUAAGGAUUGUGUGUUUCUUACCUUGAGUUUUCCUCAACUAGUUUGCCUAUUGAACCUAGACCAUGGGAUCUCCAAUUAGCUAGGUUAGGUUUCCGUCAAGUUAUAACUCAUUGAGUUGGCUUUAAACCCAUUCCCCUCGAUGUAAAUGCCACUUGAUCCUUAGAUAGGCCUUUUGUCAAAGGAUCAGCAAUAUUCUCCUUAGAUUUAAUAUAGUCAAUGAAGAUAGUUCCAUUCUUGAGUAGCUGUCUAAUGGUUUUAUGUCAUCGCCUUAUAUGUCUUGACUUUCCAUUAUAUUCAGCGUUUUUUGGCUCAACCUUGUGCAACCAUGCUAUCACAAUGUAUACAUACUGCAGUCACAGGCUUUGGCCAUAAUGGAAUAUCUUCCAGAAAAAUUUUAAGCCAUUCAACUUCAUCAGCAGCUGUAUCUAAGGCUAUAAAUUCUGAUUCCAUUGUCGAACGUGCUAUACACGUUUACUUUGAUGAUUUCCAUGACACAGCUGCUCCACCAAGUGUAAAUACAUAUCCACUUGUGGAUUUACUGUCUGUGCUCCCUGAAAUCCAAUUUGCAUCACUAUAUCCGUCUGAUACGGGCGGAUAUUGAUUAUAAUGCAAGCCAUAAUUCAUUGUAUGCUUUAAGUAUCUUAAUACCCUUAUUAAAGCAUUCCAAUGAUCUCUUCCAGGAUUACUUGAAUACCUACUUAAUCGGCUUAUUGAAUAAGCGAGAUCAGGUCUUGUACAAUUCAUAAUGUACAUCAAGCAACCUAUAACUUGUGUAUACUCCAAUUGAGAUACGCUCUCUUCUUCGUUUUUAGUAAGUUUAUGAAUUGGAUCAAAUGGAGUGACUGCAGGUUUACAAUCAUAAUGUCCAAAUCGUUUUAAAACCUUUUCAAUGUAAUGUGAUUGAGUUAGAACAUAUCCAUCUGAAUUCCUUAGAAUUCGAACUCCAAGAAUCACAUCAGCUAAUCCCAUAUCUUUCAUAUCAAAGCUAGAAUUUAGCAUUUUCUUUGUGGAGUUAAUCACAUCUUUGUUUGUUCCCAGUAUAAGCAUGUCAUCAACAUAAAGACACACAAUAACACAAGCAUUUUUCAUUUGCUUAACAUAAAUGCAUUUAUCACUUUCAUUGUCACAAAUCCAUGUGUGAGCAUAUUAUGAUCGAAUUUUUCAUGUCAUUGCUUAGGAGCUUGUUUAAGUCCAUAUAAUGACUUAAUCAAUUUGCAAACUUUCUUUUCUUGACCUUUGACAAUAAAACCUUCAGGUUGUUCCAUAUAAAUUUCUUCGUCUAAUUCACCAUUUAGAAAUGCAGUCUUGACAUCCAUUUGAUGUAUCUUGAGAUUGUGUACGGACGUUAUAGCUAUUAAUAACCUUAUAGAUGUUAUUCUAGCUACUAGUGAAUAAGUGUCAAAGUAGUCAAGUCCUUCUUUUUGACGAUAUCCUUUGGCAACUAGAUGAGCUUUAUACUUGUCUAUGGUACCAUCCGGUCUCAAUUUCCUUUUGAAAAUCCAUUUAUGUCCUAUUGGUUUAUUUUCAGGAGGCAAAUUAACCAAUUCCCAUGUAUUAUUUUGCAUGAUGGAUUCCAUUUCACUUUGAAUAGCUUCUUUCCAAUAAGGCGCUUCAGAGGAUUCUAAAGCAGCCUUAUAAGUUUGAGGCUCGUCUUCGGUUAUAAAAGUGAGGAAAUCAGGACCAAAAUCCUUUGCAAUCUUUGCUCUUUUACUAUUCCGUGGUUCCAAAUCUUGACUUUGAACUCUAGAAGUUGAAGCAUGAUUUUCGUCAUCAUUUCUUGUAUUAUCAUAAUGUACUCUUUUGUUCAAUACAUAUGACCUAUCUUUAUAAGGAAAAAUUUCCUCAAAGAACUCAGCUUCGACAGAUUCAAGUAUUGUAUUUACAUGAAUGUCUGCAAUUUCAGAUUUAUGAACCAAAAAUCUAUAUGCCGAACUAUUAUUGGCAUGACCAAUAAAUAUACAAUCCACUGUUUUUGGUCCAAGUUUUUGUCUCUUCGGAAGAGGCACUUGAACUUUUGCAAGACAACCCCACACUUUCAAGGUUUUGUAUGUAGGUAACCUACUUUUCCAGAUUUCAUAAGGAGAUUGAUUGGUCUUCUUAUGUGGAAUUCGGUUCAAAAUCGUAUUUGCAGCAAGGAGUGCCUCACCCCAUAAAUUAUGUGGUGCUCCAGAACUGUUCAACAUGGAAUUAAUCAUAUCCUUCAAUGUACGAUUUUUCUGUUCAGCCACUCCAUUUUGUUGAGGAGUAUAUGGGGAUGUGGUUUGAUGUAUUAUUCCAUGUGUUGAACAAAAUUCUGCAAAGUCAUUAGAUUCGUAUUCACCACCUCUAUCCGAUCUUAAGACUUUUAUUCUUUUGUUUAGUUGAUUUUCGACUUCGGUUUUAAAUGUCUUAAACAUGUUUAAAGCUUCAUCUUUGCUAUGAAUCAAAUAGACAUAACAGAAUUUGCUGCAAUCAUCAAUGAAGGAAAUAUAGUAGUUCUUUCCUCCACGAGUUGGUGUGGAUUUGAAAUCACAAAGAUCACUAUGGAUUAAACCAAGUAUUUCGUUGGAUUUUUCCACUGAUUUAUAAGAGUGUCUUGCAUAUUUGGAUUCUGUGCAUAUCUCACAUUUAAAUACUUUGUUCGUAGAGCAUUUUGGCAAUAGGCCUAAGUUAACCAUUCUUUGAAGAGAACAAAAAUUAACAUGACCUAAUCUUGCAUGCCAUAAUGUAGAUGACUCAAUCAAGUAAGCAGAAGAAGCACUAGGCUUGUUAUUGUUAAUAAUAGCAUCAACAGAAAGUACAUUCAAUUUAAAGAGCCCCUCAUAUAGGUAGCCAUUUCCCACAUACAUCCCACCCUUGGUGAUUACAAACUUAUCAGAUUCGAAGACUUUUUUUAAACCCUUGCUACUUAGAAGCGAUCCAGAAAUCAGAUUCUUGCGAAUAUUAGGAACAUGCAGAACAUUGGUGAGUGACAACUCUUUUCCAAAAGUGAGUUUGAGUGUCACUUUUCCUUUCCCUGCAACGGUAGAUGCAGUUGCAUUCCCCAUGUACAGAUUUUCUCCACCAUCAACAGAUUGGUAAGUAACAAAUAAAUUUUGAUCAGCACACACAUGCCUUGUUGCUCCUGUAUCAACCCACCAGUCAUUGGAAUUUGUCAAUAAAUUGACUUCAGACACAACAGCAACAAACUUAUCUUCUGCAACGUUUGCUUGAUUGGAAUUCUCAGAAUUCUGAUCCUUUUUCUGGCGGCAAUCCUUUGCCCUAUGUCCUGUCUUUCCACGAACCCAGCAACCUCCUUUGAUUUUCUUGAAGGUUUUCCCUUUCACAGCAGUUAGUGUUUUCUUUGCAGUAGUAUCAUUGCCUUUAUUUUUCUGAUGGUGCAUUGCCUUGUGUGAGGCACUUCCUUCCACAACAUUGGCUUUUGCCUCCAGCGAUGAGACAUCAUACUUCUCAUUUUUGCGAUGAUCCUCCUCCACCCGCAAUUUGAGAAUCAAUUGAUCCAUGCUCAUGUCUUCAGUUAGAUGUUUAAGAUAAAUCUUAAAGUCUUUCCAAUUCGAAGGCAGUUUCUCUAUAAUAGAGCCAACCACAAAACCUUCUUUCAGACCAAGAUUUUCUUCAUCUAACUCAUGAACAAUCACUUGGAGUUCUUCAACUUGCUUGACAACAGACUUUGUGUCACUCAUCUUGUAAUUCAGAAAUUUUCCAAUUACAAACUUCUUGGAACUUGCCACUUCGGACUUAUACUUCUUAUCCAGAGACUCCCACAGAUCUUUCACUGUCUUAUAUGAUGAAUAAACAUCAAACAGAGAGUCAUCUAAAGCAUUCAGAAUGUAGUUCCUGCAUAGAAAUUCACUGUGAGUCCAGGCUUUUAUAGCCUGCAGAAUUUCGGCAGGAAUAUCUCCCUCUUCUGGUGCUUUGGGGGACUCAGAAAUAAUCACAUGACUCAAGUUCAGAGUUGUUAAGUAGAACAACAUCUUUUACUGCCAACGUUUGAAAUCAACUCCCUUGAACUUUUCAGGUUCUCAACGUGUUGCUUAACGACACCAACAUUUGAUUGAUCCAUGGUUACACAAAGAUAUUUCUGUCUUAGAUUGUUAGAACAAAUCAAAUGUCAAGUGUAUAAUAUAUAACAACUGCACAGUUUAUCUUGAAUGGAAAUUUCACAAAGAUACGAUAUAUCUUACAAUAUGAACAAUUUAAUGAAUUUGAAUAACAAAUCACAAAAACACACUGACUUAUUUUCGGAAGAUAGAGGCUUGCAGAGCGAUCUCCUAAGACAAAAAUAUGCCCCUACACCAGUGCAGUAGUUCAAAUGACGUCUAUCUUGCAGGAUACAACUAUCUAAUCCAAGUUCUUGGACAAGAACUUGGAUGGCGAAUUUGUUGUGAUGGUUCUCUGUGAAGUAUAAAAGGAAAUGAUGGAAAAUUAUUUCUUGUUUCUGAUCUGAUGGCCAUAUUUAUAAUGGCGUAAUGGAGCAGUUGAAGCCAUUUUUAGAACGGUUGUAACUGUUCGUCAUCAGUUUUAUCCUUUCGAAAAAUAACUGGAUGCAAAAAUCAAAAAUGUAAAAAAUUAAACUUGUGUUUUCGUCAAUCCGAGCCCAAGAGCCCCAAGGCCCAAGGCCCAUCUUUGACGUUUAAUCUAUACACCCAAACCUCCAUUUGUAAGGCCCAAGGUCCAUAGCUUUGGCCCAAUUCUUUUCAAACCAUAAAGGAGGGAAAAUACUUAUAAAGUGGACUUCCACCAUGUGUUUGGGCAAUGUGGGACUAAGUCCCACUCACAAGUUCCAACACAAUGUUGUUCCUUUGAAGUCUAAGCAAGGAAAUACACCAGAGCCUACGGUGUUUGGCUUUAUUAAAUUGCACGAAACGAUAAUUGAUCUUAUUUUUAGUUGAUCAGUGUGACUAAAUGUUAAUACUGUAUAUGUUUGGUUCAUUGAUAUAUUAUUUGUCGUUGAAUGAAGAAUUGUGGUUGGAAGACAUUAUGAUAUAUGUGAGAUGAAAUGACAAUCCUAAUUGUUAUAUGGUCAUUAAGUAGUCUAGAAUUUACUGAAUCAUGUUUGUCGAGUUCCAUGGAAUGAUUCUGAAACUCUAUACUUUCUGCUAGUUAAUGUCAUGAGAAAGUUUUGAUUAGGGAACUACGAAUGACUUGAUCUCGUCUUAGAGUACGUCAGCAAUCUAACUCAAAGGUUAAAUGCAUCUAUGAAUUAAAGUAAAUAUUACUACGGUGUUAAAUUAAUGGUUGUGUCAACACUUCACUUAUGAGACAGUUGGUUUUGUUUAUUAUGUGCUUUGUGUAUGUAGUUUGUUAAAGUUUUGAAUUUAGCUUGAAAUUUGGGGGUUGUCCGGUUACGUAUCGAUCUUGGACGUAUCUCGAGAUUAGAGUGUGGCAGUAAGUCUUAGAAUAUCUGAAAGUUAGAGAUAAAAUAACACAUAAGGCAUAAGAUGUUUCACGUAAUGAAAGUAUAGAGAAUGAUAGAGGUAUAAAAUGUGGCACAUAAUUUUUUUCACUUUAUACCCGUUAUUUUCAAGAGUAACUUCACACAAUCUUGAAUUGAUAGUUAAAUAAAUCUAAGCGUAGUGCUUGGUGUGUUGAUUUUUUUUUUUUUUUUUUGAAAGGGAUUAGCCAAUUCCUUAUAAAUAUGUCUUUUUAGCUUAUAAAUAUAUUUAAAAAAUUCAAUACAUUUUUCAUACUAGAAAUUUAUAGUAUGUAUGGGUGCAACUGGGGUGGGUUGGAUGAUCAACCUAACUCUGGCACAACCUUCACAAUUCAGGUUUAAAUUGGAUUCAGGUUCAUAAUUUUGAAUGAUUUUUCAUAUUUUGAAAACAGCGUCAAUAUUAAUUAAACUUUUAUUUACACAUCAUAUGUGACAUCCCAUCCCAAAUUUUAGGUUUUUACAAAUUUUAAAAGCGUGAAUUGAUGAAAAUGCCCUAGAGGCAAGGACUUUGACUUCCGUUGACCCUCGUUUAGAGAAACGUAUAACCUAUUCUUUUAGCGUAUUUAAGUAAUACUCGUCACUAAAAACACAUAGGCGAAAGCUGUUUACGAGUCCGGAUUAUAACGGUAUAGUUAUGGACGUUCGAAAUUGGUUAUUUAAAGUUUAGUUAUAAAUUAAUUCAAACUCCCACCAUGUGGGAGUGGUAACCAAUCAGAUUUAAGCAAGAAAAUAAGGGACCAAUCAGAAAAAGAAAGGGAGGACCAAUCAAAAAUUGAGGAGAUGAGAGAGAGAGAAGCUCCCAGCUCCCUCAAAACCACACCCACACCCAUUGCGACCACCUAUCUUCCAAGGUUGAUUUCGGCCAACUCCGAUGGAAUUUUUCGAUGUCACCACCGCCAUCUUGAAGCUCUCAUUCCCCUCUACAAAACCCACCCAAGAACCACCUUGAUUAACCACGGUAUGUGGCGGUUUGAGGCCACGAAAGUCGACAAAAAUCAACGGUGCUCAGCUACUUUUUUCAAUAUUCCGGAAAAUCGGCAAAGCGAUGGCCGAUCCCACCACUUGGGCUUUGUAACCCAUCAUCCCAGGAGAAAAUCCCAACCAACCUUGACCCCGUUGGACCACCGUAGACGACGAAUCGACGCCGGGAAACUUUAGGCACCCGCCGGCUUUGUGAACAAAAUUGAUCACCUUCCGUCCACUUUUGGACUUCGUGGCAGGUAUAAAAGUUUCUUUACUCAUUGAGAUCUUCAUUUUUGUGAAGUUUGAGAAUUUUUGGAAAUAGUUGGAUUUUCCAAAGAGUUGGAGCGGCCGACCAUCACCCGCGGCAGCACAUGCUGCGACGCGUGAUGCAGGGACCGUCAAUGUUAUUCUUAGGCUAAAUUAGAUGCCUUGAGUUCAUUUUUGGUAAUUGUAUAACGUAGGUUGAUCGUUUGGACCUAAAUUCAUUAAGAUAUGUUACUUGGUAAAAAUAUGAAUCGACGAUCCGACCAUUGGAUUGUCACCAAACUUUAAUAUGUUAUAAUACGUAAUAUUUGAGGACCAUAGGAACUUACGGAUUAGGAAUCUGAUAUACGGAUCUUCCCGAAUUGGAUUCAUAAGUUCAUAAAAUAAAAGGUUAACCGCCACUUGGUUUUGGCAAUUGGCGGAAAUCCGAUCGUUGGAUCGUAAUGGGACUUUAGGAUGUUGCUCUAGAAGUAUAAUAUGGAUCUUUUUGAAGUAACGAUUUGGAAAUCCAUGAUGCAGAUCUUCCGAAUUGAAUUACAUAGAGAUGCGUUUUAUGUAAAUUAUGUAUUUUAUCGGUAUGAAUUAUGAGAUGUGAUUUGAUAAUUGGUCAUAGGCAACGAUGGUUCGUGAUGUCUCGAUAUGCGUUAUAAGGAGUCGUAGCGAGGAUCUCAGGUGAGUGGGUCUUUUCCUUUCUAUCGUAUAUAUUAUAUAUACGAUUGACAAUUCCACGAACGCUUAUAAAUUGAUUAUUGCAUAUAACUAAUGUGAAUGCUUUGAAGUACUAAAGUGAACUACGAAUGGCUUGAUCCCUGUUUAGGGUACGUAGGUAGUCUAACGAGACAUUAGAUGUAGCCAUACAAUAAUUUAGACAAUAGCCUUGUUUAGGGAAUUGAGUAAUGUGAGGGACAUUGGUGGAAAAUGUGAGAUUUAACUUUAUGAUUUGGUAGUUAAAUGUUGGUCAUAAAUCAAUGUGUGAAGAAUCAAGAACUUGAAGUAAGGAAACGUAAGUAAUGAUAGUUAAUUAAACUAGUGUCUUGUUGGGCUUAUCACCGAUAACUAUUCCCGAAAAUAAAUAGUUCGGGAGUAAGGCGUUACAACUUAUGCAUUUUUAUGCCACAUUAUAUAUAUAUAUAUAUAUAUAUAUAUAUAUAUGUAUAUAAUUGAAAAUGAUAUAACAUGGUUGAGUAUCAGAUUGCAUCAUGGUUUAUCUAUAUGUAUAUUACCUGCACACAAUUAUUAUGAAAGCUUGAAGUGCAAAGGUGAACGCAGGACACCCAGGUAAGUUCAGGUGAGUUUACGGUAUUAGUUGAAAUGAUGGGGUUAUGGUAAGACUACAUGUAUGUUUAAGUAACUCCGACCUUGUCGUAUAGGUUGCAAUGAUAGGCAACUUCGACACUGUCAUACAGGUUGCCCAUGAAUUUUAUAUGUUACAAUAGAUACCGUUAGAGCUCAUAAACCUGCACCCCGGUGUUAAUGCUCCCGCCUGUGGCCAAGGCACAGUCAUUCACGUGAUGUUCACCUCCCGCCAUGGAAUUAAAUAUCGAUAUUAUCGGCGAAAUAUCGCCGAUAAUAUCGUUAUUUUCACAUAGCGAUAUUUUCAACGUUUACAGUUAAUUAUCGUAAUAAUAUCACGAUAAUAUCACUAAUAUCGAUAAUAUCGCGAUAUUAGCGAUAUAUCGCGAUAUUAACCAUAAUAUCGCCGAGGAUCCUCCGUCGUCGUCACAACGGCAGCCGAAAAUGAGCAAUCCAUGCUCAGACCCUGAAAAUGAGCAAUCCUCUCUCUGCAAUCCACGCUCAGACCCUAAAAAUGAGCAAUCCCUUUCUCCAGAUCCCAAAACCCGCUCGGAUUUGAUGAGGGGGAUAACCGGAGAAGGAUCGAGAGACUGAGGGAGAAGAAGAAGGAUGGAGAGACUGAGGGAGAAGGAUCGAAAUCGAGGCUGAGGGAGAAGGAUGGAAGGAUGGACGGACAGAGAGACUGAGGGAGAGAAGGAUCGAGAUCGAGGCUGAGGGAGAAGGAUGGACGGAAGGCGGAGGGAGAAGGAUGGACGGACGACGGAGAGACUGAGGGUGAGAAGGAUCGAGAUCGAGGCUGAGGGAGAAGGAUGGACGGACGACGAAGAGACUGAGGGAGAUAAGGAGAGACUGCGUGUGUGGUGUGUGGUGUGUGCGUGUGUGGUGUGUGCGGUAUGCAUGUGUUGCAGAGAAAAGAUGGGGGGCAGAAGAAGAAACAAGGAGACUGUGGGAGAAGGAUCGAGAGAGCCCUGCACGAAUCCCUCUACGUUUCUAAAAGAUAAUUAAAUAUGAGGAAAUUGUGAGAUCUGACAUGUGGCUAGAAAUGCCGUGUGAAAGUUUCCAAUAUUGCACAUGUAUAUAUUAUUGUCAGUUUUUCUCUUACUUUUCAAAUUGUUUAUUCCACAUUUGUUAAUUUCAUUAUAUAUAAAUGAUUUUGGUGUGUUUAAAUUUUUUUCAUUAAUUACUACAUAUUUUCUACAUUCACAAUGUUUGCCAGCUCGCUAUAUUAUCAACUUAAAUCAAUUAAAUUCAUCAUGCAAUGCAUUUCCUUCCAAUUUUUUGUGAUAAACUAAUAGAUAAUUGACUAAAUAAACAUCCUGCAAAGUUUCAAUAAAAAUUUCCAAGUUUUUCUUACAAUUUCCGUGGUUUCCAUGUAAUUUUUAUCGAUAUCGAUAUUAUCCCGAUAUUUUCAUCGAUAUUUCCGUGUUUUCGGACUACCGAUAUUUCCGAUAUUACCGAUAUUUUCUUCCUUGCCUCCCGCACCUUACGCUCACCUUGGAUCCAAGGUAGGUGCACAGUCCUGUCAUACAGAUCACUAUAGGUGGUUCCGACUUGUAGGUGACCCACGAUUAUUCAAUUAGUCUUCACGUGAUCGUAGCACUUGAGCGUAUUUAUUUACACCCAGUCCUAUCAUACAGACCACUUUAAGUGGUUCUGACUCGUGUGCAGGUAUACUUAUUGAGCUAUGGAUAAGUCGUACAUGUCAUUAGAGGUGACUCCGAAUUAUGAACUAGCAUAUGUGAUGAAAUAUGUUGAUAUGUUAUGAGCUAGCAUAUGUGAUGAGAUAUGUUAUGAGCUAGCAUAUGUGAUGAAAUAUGUUAUGAGCUAGCAUAUGUGAUGAAAUAUGUGAUGAGCUAGCAUAUGUGAUGAAAUAUGUGAUGAGUUAGCAAAUGUGAUGAAAUAUGUUAUGAGCUAGCAUAUUUGAUGAAAUAUGUUAUGAGCUAGCAUAUGUGAUGAAAUAUGUGAUGAGCUAGCAUAUGUGAUGAGAUAUGUGAUGAGCUAGUAAAUGUGAUGAUAUAUGUUAUGAACUAGCAAAUGUGAUAAAAUAUGUUAUGAGCUAGCAUAUGUGAUGAAAUAUGUGAUGAGCUAGCAAAUGUGAUGAAAUAUGUUAUGAGCUAGCAUAUGUGAUGAAAUAUGUGAUGAGCUAGUAUAUGUGAUGAAAUCACAUAUGUUAUGAUCUAGCAUAUGUGAUGAAAUAUGUUAUGAGCUAGCAUAUGUGAUGAGAUAUGUGAUGAGCUAUGGAAAAGUCGUACGUGUCACUAUAGGUGACUCCAACUUAUAUGCUAGCGUUGAUUGACGAGAUAUGGAUAAGUCGUACAUGUCACGUGCGGUGACUCCGACUAGUAUGAUUGAUAAGCUAUUAAUUCAGCCGUACAGGUCACGUGAGGUGACUCCGGCUGGCAUACCAUUUCAUAUUGAUUUAUUUCACAUGGAUUACUUAUUCUUGUUGAGAUAUUUGACACGGCAUAACCGUGAGACUGUUAUUUUGGUUAUGGUUUUGAGUUAUGGUCACACCUGUUAUUUUCUGGGAAAUUAUAUAGGUGUUACGGCAAGGGGCUACUGCCUUUGGUAAUUGAAAUUGGUUUGAAAAGUUUUGUUUCACUCACUCACAUUUUCUAUUUUUGCACCCCUCCAGGAUCUAGCAGCAGAGUUCUGUAUCGAUGAGGAUUCGUGGCACUUUUUAGUAUAGAUGUCUUCUUAUGAUGGUAUAACCAUGAUCUUACUUUACUGUACUAUACCUAUGCUCUGUAUCACGCGUGAAAUGGGUUCAUUUCUGCUCACGGUGCACUCUGGUAUUUAGGCACUCUUAGGUUCAAAUUUAUUCAUAUUUUUCCACAUCAUCACUCUAUGGCUUCGUUACUUUUCAGAUGUCACCCAUCACAGCUCGAUUCGAAGUCCUUAUGGACAUUUCGGGUCCGGGUGUGUCAUCAUAAUCCACACAAAAGUUAAAUCAAAUAACUUGGAGACUAUUUUUAAUGUUUCAACCAUGCAAAUGUAAUUACAAGACGAAUUCCAAAUCUUCAACUAAAAGAAAUGUAAAAGUUCAUUAUCCAUAUGAAAAAUCAACAAUUAGCUUCCAAGUAUUAUCAUUCCAAACUUAUACUUAACUUAUAUAAUAUGAAGUGAGAUGAGUAAUAUAUGUAUUAGCAAGUUCGAACACAAAAUUGGGUUGAGUUUGCAUUGACAUGGGCGGCAAGGCAUCAACUCAACCCAACCUAAUAAAUGAUCGGGUUGAGGUUAAGUUGGAUCUUAGCGCGUUUUUUCUUCAUUCUAACCGUCUCGAUCGCUUUUGAAAUCGAAUUGGAUGUAGAUAGAUUGGGUAUGAUAUAGGAAAAAAUUAAUAGGCAUAAAGGAAUAGGCGUGUAAUGGACCCCGUAAUCAAAGUUACUUUCUCAUUCUUUUUAGGCAUUUUAGAUUACGGUUCACAUACGCAAAAGAGUCAAGAUUAAGACACUAAUGAGAUAAGAUUAACAAAAAAAAAAAAAAAAAAAAAAGAGGGAGAAACGAAAAGAAAAAUGAAAGAGAAACGUAAAUCGUAAAUGCUCAGAGAAAGACCGUGCACUACGCGUUUGGUGACCUCAAAGACUGGCACCUGUUCGGAAGUGGGAAGGAAGCUUUUGCAAGUUUAAAACUAGUUUGGAUAAACAGCAUCCUACCAUUCUCUAUAAAUAAAUAUUAAAUUCUGUUAAAAAAAUAAAAUAAAAUUACGACCGCGUUUAGAGUAAUCUUAUAUCAUUUUCAAAGAAGAAAGGAGGAUUCUCUCCACUCCUAAUUUCUCUCUCAUUCCAUCUCCUUUUAUUUAAACGGUUAUGAUUAAUCCACGUCAAUAUCGGUAUUGAUUUUUUUUUAUAGAUAAAGUGAGUAAUAGAAAACUGUGAAAGGAGGAGAAUGAAGGAGAUGAGAAUAGAAGGAGAGAGAAUCUUACUCCCCAAAGGUGAUGUCAAAUUUCAAAUACUAAAUUUAAAUUUGAAGGCUUAUGAGGCAUAUUGAUCUUUUUGUAAAUUUUGUUCACCACUUGAUAUGUCAAAUUUAAACUAUGAUUAUUUUUAUUCUUUACUUUUCAUAAUUGUAGUUAGUAUUUUUAAAACAAAAGAUAAUAAUAAAAAUUAUAAAAAUAUUUAAUACCCACUAAAAAUAAAUUUGAAGUUGGUGUCAAAUUUGAUAGCAACUCCCUCUCCUGUCAUUCCAUGUCAUGCCAAAUAGGAAUUGACAUCUCGAUUGGAAACCACUAGUGCUGCCUUCCUUUUUUUUACCGUUAUUGCUUAUGUGGACUUUUUAACAUCUCUUUGGAUAUACUCUUAGAAUAUUUUCAAAUGAGAUGUCAAAUUCAAAACAUUAAAUUUAAAUUUGAUGGCUGACUUGGCAAUUUGAAAUAUAGUCAAUAUUUUUCCUUCCACCUGAUAUGCAAAAAAUUAUUGCUUCAUUUAUGUCUUUUAAAACAAAAAUAAUAAAAGUGGAGUUGUUAUUGGUUUAAAAACUAUAAAAUAAUAUUUAAAUAUGCUAGUAUUUAAGGUAACGCAAGUGGAACGCCUUUAGAAAUAGCAAAAACCAUAUUUGAAGGCAGCUUCAAUUUUGUUAUCUCUUUGUCUAUGUCAGCUUAGCAUUCUUUUCCAUGUCAAUUUUAAUAUUUCGGUUUGAGUAAAUGAUAAGUUUUGACAUAUCUUUGGAGAUACUCUUAGAAUAUUUUCAAAUGAGAUGUCAUAUUCAAAACAUUAAAUUUAAAUUUGAUGGCUGACUUGGCAAUUUAACAUAUUGUCAAUAGUUUUCCUUCCACCCGAUCUGCAAAAUUUUUUUGCUUCAUUUAUGUCUUUUAAAACAAAAAUAGUAAAAGUUGAGUUGUUAUUGGUUUAAAAAUUAUAAAAUAAUAUUUAAAUAUGUUAGUAUUUAAGGUAACGCAAGUGGAAUGCCUUUGGAAAUAGCAAAAACCAUAUUUGAAGGCAGCUUCAAUUUUGUUAUCUCUUUGUCCAUGUUAGCUUAGCAUUCUUUUCCAUGUCAAUUUUAACAUUUUGGUUUGAGUAAAUGGUAUGUCAUUUGUUAUUAAUUUAUGUCUUUAUGUCAGAUGAUCUAACAUUUUACUUAUCAUUAUUUUAUUAUUAUUAAAAGUGAUUAAUAAUAACGUAAAUAGAGGUUACGUCGGUAUCCGGUAAAUUUGUGGGCAGUCCAGACAAUUUCUCCUCCUCUUAUUUCUGCAAACAACGCACCCAACCGCAUUAUUCAUCUUUUUCUCCUUCCUGCCUCAAUAGCACCUCUCUCUCUCUCUCUCUCUCUCUCUCUCUCUCUCUCUCUCUCUCUAAAAGUUUGUUCCUUUUGCAGAACCAGCCCUUCAUCGACUUCAAAGGUAUGACUUUUCCUUCAUUUUCUUAAGCUCUUUCGGUUUCCCGAGCUUGAUCGUCGUUUUAUUGUUUCUGCACGAUUUUCUAUAAUUUUUUUCACUUUUUUAUUUUUUAUAAAAUUUUUGAGGUCCGAUCAUCGUUUUCUCGAUCAAUUCCCGUUCUACGUUUCUGAUCAUCCUGUUUGAUACUCUUUGUUGUUGUUGUCGUGCUGUUUCCGGCCUCUUAUCGAUGAGGUUUGCUUGUUUGAUGGUGCUGCUUUAUAAAAUUAUAUAUAUAUAUAUAUAUAUAUAUAUAUUAUGUAUGUAUGUAUGUAUGUAUGUAUCUGUCUUUCCUCUAUUUAGGAAUUUGUGAUUUUUGGGUUAGUUUUAGUUUGUGUUAAUGUGGAUGCUGUAUUGUGUAAAAUGGAGCUGUGAAUUGUGGUUGUUUGGUUUAAUUCUGUUGUAUAAUUGUUGUAGCAUGUAUAUAAUGAACCCGGGCGGGUGGAUGAUACGAUGAUCAUUAUAUUAGUGGUGGUGAUUGCGAUCAUAAAUCACUUCUCCCCGGUAAUUAGUUAUUCAGGGGAAGUGAUUUUUAUCUAUAACUAACAUCAGGGUCUCACCUACUGUUUCAUAGAGAUUUACCUCCCCUGGGGUUUAGUUUCAACCGAGGUUUGCUUGGUGGAUUUGAGGGUUUUUAGAUAAUAAAUUGUCACUCUGAAUUACCUUUAGCAUCGGCUAGGUUUAGACCGUUCUUAUUAUGCAGGUUUUGGUGUGCUGGUGGUGUAUUAUUAUUGAAUGCUUGUAUUGAGUUCGACUCGAGAAGAACAUUAGUACCUGAGUUCUGAAGGUGAUAUGACUGCACCUGCAGGUGAGAGUUUCUUAGAGUCAUAUCUUUCUAAGGUUUACAGUUCAGUAAAGUGGUCAUGUUUCUUCUUACUUCUCAUGUCAUGCCUUACUAUAGCUCUCUAAAUAAAUAUUCGCAUUUGACGUCUUACGUUAGUUGGCAAUUUGGGGGGUUGGGGUGGGGGGGUGGGGGGUUGUUUUGGUGUGUAGUUCCUUUCAUGCUCUGAAUUAUGAAUGGUGUUGCAGGGAAUUUUUGAUCAAUUGGUCUUCUAUAAAAAGCAUCUCAAUUGAAGCCUCGUCUUUUCUUCAGGAUUUAUUGGCACGAUCUGCUGCCAUUUUAUGAGAGCCUAAGUCAGUUGUAGUAUUGUGAGAGCACAGUAUAUACUAACUGCUAAAGACUCCAUUUUUACUUUCUCAGAUAGUAAGAAACUGGAAUUCUCUUUAACUGGGUCUAACCACCUGAGCUAGUGGAGGCCAGACUUGAGAUAGAAAAAAAAUGUAGCCUUGACAGUGAUAGUGUCAUGGUUGUUAGAUUGAUAAUUCUUGGCCCUUUGUUUAGUGAUGGGAAAUGUCAGACUGAGGUGACGGAGAGGUUGGCUAUAAUAUAAUGCCAUGGGAAAAUUCAAUUGACUUUGUAAAGUUCCUUUGGUCAAUUCAUUCUUCUCAUUUUUCCUAGUAUUUGGAGUUACCUUUGUGAUGUUGCUGUACGUUGGUGCCAAAUAGAGCAGUGAGCUGAUGGAUAUACUGGAUAUACUGAUGAUUGUGUGCUUAGGAGGUGUCAAUGAAUGGAGAGAAUGCUGACCAGCUUUUGAUACAUUGAUACAUGCCAUCUCUGGAGAAUCUUGAGCUCAGGUGACUGGACUGAACCAUGCAGUUUGGUUUGCAUAUUGAACUUUUGGAUCUAGUGCCACUUAUCAUUACCCUUGUGGUGGAUGAUUUGCCCGUGAGUAAUGGGCAAUCAUCACUGAGAACUCUGAGGAGCUGAUGUUUGUAUCACUGAUACACAGACACACAGACCUUGGUGUAGGCUAACAGGGUGGAGGGAGUAGUUGGGGUGUUUCGACUUUUCUUAUACUUGUCUUACCUGGAUGGGAGGCAGUGGGCUGCUAGCUCAUAAUUGGUGGUUUGGGUUUCUUCAGAUUGGCGUAGGUUAUGCACCCUCGACUCUUGUACAGCUUCUUUGCUGUGCUUCCACGCAAAGAAGAGUUUCCAGAUUUGAGAUUAUGAGAAUAUCUUGGCUGCUUCUUACGACAUCAUCUUGCCGACGAGCCUCUCUGCAGAGAGAGUAUUACAAAUACUAAUGUCGUGCUUCUUUCUUCUGAGAUCUCCAAUCCUACAGUUUAGGGUGCAAGUAUACCUCUAUGUGUACUCUAUAGCUUCAAUUGUAAACUGUCUCAAGAUGUGUAUGAUAUGAAGACAACACCCUUAAGUCUUCAGACGAAGAUUCUCUUCAUAUUGGGCAAUGGAUUUUAUUAGUGUAGAAACUUGUUGUAGACAGAGAAGGCUCCAGGUUUAAGAAAUACAUACAUUUUAUGGUUAUACUAACCUGAUCUUACUGUCUCCAAAGACGCUUCCAUUUAUUUUACUUUUUUCAUCUCUACUUAUUUUGUAACAUAUGAAUUGUACCUUUCAUUUAUAAAUAUUUACAGCUUUUAUCUGGAACAGUUCCUACCUUUAACCUUGAUGAGAGCAUCUUUUUAAAUAUCUUUAGGGCUGAAAGUAUUAAGAACUGUGCCUUUUUUUUUUCAGAAUUUGGAGGCGAGGGGGACAUCUGGUAGUGGGUUUUCUGGUCUUAGUUUGUCUAUUUUAAAAUUCUACUAUUGAUAUUUGAAUGGCAAGAAGUAGUUUAAGUCAAUAUUAGUGUGAUAUUGAGAUUGUUACAUCUUUACACCCUCUAGGUGAUUUCUAAUCCUGUGAUUCAAAGUCCAAACACAGGUAAUAUCUUCAAGGAAGGUCCUGUUUCCAUCUUUCCGCAUCUCACUUUCAGCUAAUUGUUUCUUUACACUUUCCAUUCUUAUUUAUUAUCCCUCAGAAAAAAUGGCUCUCCCCAUUAUCAAUGAAAUGCUGUCUUAUUGGAGAUGAAUGCGAGAGGGAGUUGGUUGACAAUGACAUAGGGUGCUAGUGGGUGUGCAACUAGGAUUUGAAGGAUCUUUUCCCAGCACAAUUGUUUUAAACAGAACAAAUCUUGACUUUUAAUUCAGUAUUGGCCUUGAAUGGACCAGAGAUUGGUGGGUCAAAGUGUGAAAGCAUAUUUAUAGGCGGGACGCUAUUGGUCGAGCUAUUUGGUGAUGUUGUGGCAUAUACUUCAUACUUAGUCAAACUAUUUUGAAAAUUUUCAAUUGGCAUGUGAGGCCAGAACUUGUUUCAAUAAACUGCACUUUUCUUUGCCCAUCUCUGGAAGUUAAAUUUAUCUUGCAUUUGCCUAUGUGUUGGUUGCCUUUUUCGUUUGUUUUGAUGACCAGUUUUAAUUUCUUUGAAACUGUCUGGCUUUGGUUUGAAUGUUCUUUUCUUUAAAUUAUUUUCUACGAGAAUGCUGACUUCUUUCUCCCAUCUACACUCUGAGUGUUUAGAAAGGUUUUAAUUAUUACAAGCAAUACUUCUGUAAUGGGUUACUUAUCAAGAGUUUAUGGUUAAUACUUCUAACUUCUUACUAUAGUGGCCUGGAUGUGGGCCUCCAUGUGUUUUAAAUGGAAAAUGCUGAAAGAAGAGAAAUGCAUGCAUGAUUAACCUUCGAAAUAUCUAAUAAUGGUGACAUUUAGAGAUUUUUCUGGAUACAGCCUGAUUUGGGGUAAAGGCGGGCAGAAAUUAAUACUAAAAAGGUCGUACCCAGUGCACAAGGCUCCCGCUUUACGCAGGGUCUGGGAGAGGUAAAUGUCGGCUAGCCUUACCCCCAUUUAUGGAGAGGCUGCUCCCAAGUCUCGAACCCGAGACCUACCGCUCAUGGGCGCGGGCAGAAAUUAAUACUAAUAUCAAAUAAAUGAUUUUGUAUGGGUGGCAUUUAUUUAGAGGUAUCUAUAUUUGAAACCAAAGUUUUGAUGCAACGCACUUAGGUUGGUGUUGAAAUCUUGGUGUUAUAUUGUUGCCCCUCUUACUGCUCAGUGCUCGUACAACUUAAAUAUUUUUAUUCAGCUUCAUUGGUAUUUUGUGAUUUUCUUGUAAUCGUACAGGUCUUAUCAUCUUUGGUCAAUGGUUUUGAUCUUUUAGUCUUUUAUCUGUUUCUUCUAUCUUCUAACUUCAAACAUUUUGGUUACACACUACUUACACACAAAAUAUGUAAUAUUCCAUUAUUUGUGAAUACCAGCUUACAUUCACACAAGCAAUUACAAGUUUGGGGGAAGUUGUUAUGAGAAUAACAAAAGAAAGUAAAAAAAUUUUUUGCCUUUGUUUUGGAAUUAAGUAUGUAUGCAGCUUGGGGUAACCUGCAGCACCGCUGUCUUUCCUUUCUGAUGUUUGUCCAAUAUGAGUCCUUGAUGUGUAUUGUGACUCUCACAGUCUGAUUACUAACGAAGUUACUUUUCUACGUUUUGAGGAGCCUUUCCCGUUUUGUGCAGGUUGUGGUAUUAUUUAGUAGAUUCUGUUUCUAGCUCGUAACUUGUUCGUGGCUAUAAGCUGACGAAAGUUAUGGGGCAUAGACAUCAGUUCACCACAUCUCAUGUUUUUGAGAGUGAAAAUGAGCAGAAUUGGAAUCAUAUAAACACAGAACAACCUUUUGGGCAUUUGGGUACUGUCUUUAUUUUCCUUUAGUAUACUUAUCUUUUCCUUUUUGUCUUGCCUAUAAUUUGCAAACUCUCUUAUGUCAUUUGAGGUUUGAGUGUAUAAACCUUGAAUUUCUGAUCUGUGGAAUAUCUUUUGUAUUCAUGAUGAACUAUACCUGAUUUCGGACCUAAUACUGCAGGCUGGGAGGGCUCUGGGGAGAACAGUUCUUUCUUUUAUCCUGUAGAAAACAUGUGUAUAGAUGGAAUGCCUUUUGCUUCAAAUUGGAACCCGGCUCCGAGGUCAUAUGGGUACUCUUCCAUGAACCACAAUGUUGAUGUAUUUUCAACCUGAUGCUUCAGGUCCAUCUCAUGACCCUUUUCAGCAUCCAGUAAGUGCUGGUACCUUUGGCAUGGCCAGUGGGAACUAUGCUCACCAUGCACCUUCUUCUAGUUAUGACCAGUGUCCAUUCCUUGGUGUUGAGGGUGGUUUUGUUGAUCUCACAAUGAGCAACGGAAGGGGUCCUCAUAAGAGAAAAAGCCCAGGGAUCCCUUCUGUAUCUGAGAGAGGAAGCACCAGCAGACACUAUAGUGCUGGAAGUAGUUCCUCUGAGCUCCCUAGGUCUGCAGAAUUACAGCAUGAGAAAGUAAACAUGGAUACCUCACACAUGCCUUGGGAUCACAUCUCUAUGAUCCCUAGCUAUAGAGGGAAUGGACUCUCAAUUAGGGGUGACGGAUCCAUGAGAAAUGUGAGAAGCCGGUCUGAACAUGAUUUGGAGUCCAAUCUAGCUAGGACACAUUUAUCGAGCAAUCCUUUGCAUACUUCUUAUCCUACAAGUCUCCCUAUUGACCAUUCUAGUACGAUCGAUCUCUCUGGUCAGGGUUCUACUCGUUUGACCAAUGAGUGGAACCAUAUUAGUGUGGCUCCUCAUGGAAGGGUUAUGGCUCCAGGUUAGUUUUUGGUUCAUCUGUUUCUUGUAUACAGGGUCACGUUAUUUUUUACUCAUUGAUUUCUUUUAAACUGCAGAUACAAGUGGUUUUGGUCAUGAUCCCAACCACUUCCUUUUGGGAAGUAGUGGUAAUGCUUCUGUGGAUAAUGGGUUAUACCAUCAUGAUUUCAUGUCGAGCAGAAGUACUGCUGUUCCUCAAAGUUAUCCUGGUGCCUUAGCCCAAACUGUAAGGGGUGUUCGCAGUACCUAUUCUCAAAGAUCUCCCCCAGCCUUCAGGGCUUCUUCAAGCAACUUGCGAUUGGGACAUGCAUCACAUUCAGAUGAAGGAUUGCAGCCGAUGCCAGAAAAUUACCCAAGACAUCCUAGGCCAGUGGCCUCUGUUGGGUGGCGUCAUAAUGACAGGAGUGGUAGGUUGAGGAUGUCUAAUAAUAGAUACCGAGUCCCUGAAGAGUCUGCUCUCCAGGACCGGUUUUCGUCUGAGGUAUGUAGUUCAACUGAUGCAUCUUAACAUAUUUUGCUAUAUUCAAGAAGUGUGCAGCUCCCUUGUAAUAGUUACAAAACACUUGUUUCUUUUCCCUAUCAGUGCAUACAAACUGUUGUGUACUUCCGAAUCUAACUGUUCGAGCUAGUUCCGAGCACGUAAAAUCUGAAAAUGCUAGCCUAUAAUUGUUGGGCAUUCUGUUUUAAUUCAAGCUCAUAUUUAGUCAGGUUCAUACAUCUGUAAGGACUGAUGGUAUUAACAUUGUUGAAAGCGAUCCAUGUGACUCUGGAAUAUAUGCUCUUAUGACACUUAUUUUAUUGUUAAUUAAAGCUUUGAAUUUUGAUAAAUCUAAAAAAAAAACUUAUGUACAGCGUAAACCUUGUUCGGUACUGAAAACAGGUGAGCCAAUUGUUGUUCAUUUACCACUGCAGGGAUUUAUGGCUGUGGAUCGCCCAGCUUUUCCUGGGUCGAGGAAUAUGCUUGAUCAUCAUAGAGACAUGAGGCUGGACAUAGACAACAUGAGUUAUGAGGUAACGUCAAUAUUCCUGUCUAUUAUAUUUCUUGAACUGUCUGAACAAAAAGGAACUCCUAGCACUAGGCGAAAGAAUAGGAAAUGCCUUUAUUUUUCUCUUCCUCUGACUUUCAUGUAUUCUGAAUUUCUCGAAAUGUCCGAACAAAUAGGAACUCCUCGCACUAAGCGAAAGGAUUGGGAAUGUCAGCACAGGCUUGUCUGAAGAUUUGAUACCGAAGUGUUUAACAGAAACAAUAUAUUGUUCAUCAGAUCAAAUCCAGGAUGAAGGUUCAUGUGCAAUUUGCCUGGUAAGAGUCUUCCACUUGAAACCGGAAAUUAUAAGAUUGCCGUUUCCAUUAGUGUGGUUUUAAUUUUAUCUUAGCGCUUUUUAGACCAAUUGGACUGUAAAUUGCUUAACUGCUGGAAAUCUAACUUGUAUAUAACCCGAUUGACAGGAAGAGUACAAUGACAGGGAUGAUGUUGGUGCAUUGAAAAGUUGCGGUCACGAUUACCAUGUGAGCUGCAUCAAGAAGUGGUUGUCAAUGAAAAAUUCUUGUCCAAUCUGCAAAGGUUGUGCUCUUCCUGAUAAUAUGAAGGAGAAAUAAUUUAAUCACGUCGUUAGCGCUUCAUUAUAUUACCAUUCUUGUAUAUAUAUUUAGAGAUAAUCCCGAAAACGGAAGAAACAAUACUUGUUUCGUAUUAUGUAAAGGGAGUGUUAGCCAAUUUAAAUUAAUUUGUUUCAGGCUUCCAUUUAAAUGUUGUGAAGCCUUUUUGCAAUUGUUGUUGUUCCGUAUAUGGCUCUAGUAUAUAGUUUUUUUUUCUUCUAAUUUUAUGAUUCCUUUUCAAAACUGAGAAGCUAGUUUAUGAUGGAAAGGGGAAAACCUUGAAAACAAAUUAUUUUUUCGGUUUUUAAUUUUUUGGGGAGGGGAGGCAGAUUCUCUGCCCUUCUACUUUUCGUGCCCUUUCAUGCUCUUUUGUUUGUGUGAUAAUCGUUAAAUCACGUUAACAUUUUAUAUUACUAAUCUUUUUUAUCUUAUUAUCUUUAUAAAAAAAUUAUAAAAUAUUAAUGUGAUUUAACCGUAACUACACAAAAUAAGAGGGUACGGAAGGUAGGAGGGCAGACAAUCUACCUCCUCACGCGCACCCUUUUGACCAUUCAAAAGGCCCCUGCACAUUUCUGUUCAUUGAUUUCUCUUUUUUGGGUUUUUUCAACGAAUGAUAUUAUUUACAUUAAGAGGAUAAAUAGUGUUUAGCCUCACAAUUGACUAGUAAUAAUGUUGUUCAAAUUUCUCCUUGGCGAAAAUCGAACUUAAGAUUUCUUUCUUGCCAAUAAAGAGAAAUACCACUAAAUCAUAGUAGUAGCUCACCUCCUUCUACUUGUAUACAACUUUUUAAAUUACUUUUCAAGUUAGUUUCAAGUACUUAUUUGGUAUUACUAUUUAUAAAAACUAAAGUCAAAAUUAACAUAUGAAUUUGGGAAUGAGGAUGGCACGCCCGAACUUGAUACUCUUAGUUGCCAUCCCUACUCUCUCCUCUUUCUCCCUCACUCUCCUUGAUAUUCUUCUCCCGUCUCUUCUCCGAUAUUCUUUCGCCAUUUUCUCUCUCUUCUCUUUGAAUUUCCAAGUUCGGAUAAUGUUACCCAUUACACUGUAGGAUGAGAUGUUUUUACUUUUCUAAUUGUUGUAUUUUGAAAACAAUUUUAAAUCACAUACAUAAACAAGUUUUUUAUUCUUUUAAGAAGUAUUCCUCAAAAAUGUUUUGAGGAAAGAUGUACCUUUUUAUAUAAGAUACCAAACAGCUUCUUAUUUUUGUCAUAUAAUUUCACAUUAAGAUGUACUAUUCACACAUCUUUUUAUUUCUCACAUAUUCCUUGUUAAUUUUUAUCCGUCGAUCUUCUUCAAUUUAUCAAACCCGAUACAUGAAAAUUAAAAAGGUGUGUGAAAGGCAAAAAAGUGUGUGAAUAUCAGAUCUCUUUAGUAAUCCAUUAGCAGGUCAUAUACGAUAUUGACGCGUGUAAUCCACAUAACCUGUCAACGUAGCAUUCUGCAAGUCCAAACAAAUUAGGAAUCCAAUUACCUUCACAAGCAAGGAAAGGGGCAACAAAAAUCCAAGAUAGAGCAGGUCACCUUCUCCCUCAUCAAAUAAAGAAAACUAAAAAUCAGAGGUCAACAAUUGUUGGCACUUGCCCACCUAGAAACAUCUGGGCCGUUCGUUUCACUGACUUUUCUGGUCCACGCGUUCCUCGUCCACUCCGGAAUCCAACCUAAAAAUGGGAUUUGAGUCGGCUCAUCCUCCCUAUAUAAACUCCUCACCCCCUCCACUCUUCCUCACAAUUCUCUCAACAAUUCUCGCCCAUCGUCCCCAAAUCUCUCUCAAAUCCCUAAUUUCUUUCGAAUUACAAAUCCCCAAUUUCUGAAACCAUGCAGAUCUUCGUGAAAACCCUCACCGGCAAGACCAUCACUCUCGAGGUUGAGAGUUCGGACACGAUCGACAACGUCAAGGCUAAGAUCCAGGACAAGGAGGGCAUUCCUCCCGACCAGCAGCGGUUGAUUUUCGCCGGAAAGCAGCUCGAGGACGGCCGGACCCUAGCGGAUUACAAUAUCCAGAAGGAAUCGACGCUCCAUCUGGUGCUUCGGUUGAGGGGAGGCAUGCAGAUUUUCGUUAAAACCCUAACCGGGAAGACGAUAACUUUGGAGGUCGAGAGUUCGGAUACGAUCGAUAACGUCAAGGCCAAGAUCCAGGAUAAGGAGGGUAUUCCUCCGGAUCAGCAGAGGCUUAUCUUCGCCGGCAAGCAAUUGGAGGACGGCCGGACCCUGGCGGAUUACAAUAUCCAGAAGGAAUCGACUCUCCAUCUUGUCCUCCGUCUCCGGGGAGGUAUGCAGAUCUUCGUCAAAACCCUAACCGGGAAGACGAUUACUCUGGAAGUGGAGAGCUCGGACACUAUUGACAACGUCAAGGCCAAGAUCCAGGAUAAGGAGGGAAUUCCCCCGGACCAGCAGAGGCUGAUCUUUGCCGGAAAGCAGUUGGAGGAUGGCCGAACCCUAGCCGAUUAUAAUAUUCAGAAGGAGUCGACUCUCCACUUGGUUCUGCGAUUGAGAGGAGGUAUGCAGAUUUUUGUCAAAACCCUAACGGGGAAGACAAUAACUCUCGAGGUCGAGAGCUCUGAUACCAUCGAUAAUGUGAAGGCCAAGAUCCAGGAUAAGGAGGGAAUCCCACCAGACCAGCAGAGAUUGAUUUUCGCUGGUAAGCAAUUGGAGGACGGAAGGACUUUGGCGGAUUACAACAUCCAAAAGGAGUCUACUUUGCACUUGGUCCUGCGUCUGAGAGGUGGCAUGCAAAUUUUCGUGAAGACCCUUACAGGGAAGACCAUAACUCUGGAGGUCGAGAGUUCCGAUACUAUUGACAAUGUGAAGGCGAAGAUUCAGGACAAGGAGGGCAUUCCUCCGGAUCAGCAGAGGCUCAUCUUUGCCGGGAAGCAAUUGGAGGAUGGCCGGACCCUGGCGGAUUAUAACAUCCAGAAGGAGUCGACUCUUCACCUUGUGCUCAGGCUUCGUGGUGGAAUGCAGAUAUUUGUGAAGACCCUAACAGGGAAAACAAUUACCCUGGAGGUUGAGAGCUCCGACACUAUUGAUAAUGUCAAAGCUAAGAUCCAGGAUAAGGAAGGGAUCCCACCGGACCAGCAGAGGCUGAUCUUUGCUGGGAAACAGCUUGAGGAUGGUCGCACCCUUGCAGAUUAUAACAUCCAGAAAGAGUCUACCCUCCAUCUUGUCCUUCGUCUCCGUGGCGGUGAUUUCUGAAGAAGUUUGUUGGUUUUAGUUGUUUUGUGUUGUUAUGGUGGCGAAUAAUGGUGGUGUGUUUUGGUUGGUGGCCAAUGUGCCACUAAAGUCAUGUUAUGUUUUAGGGUUUGUGGGUUGUGUUCUUUUAUGUUUCCUUUAGUUGUUAAUUUCUCAGUUUGGUAUUAAUGAACAAUUUCUAGUCUUGUGAACUUUAUCUGAUUCCCUUUCCUUUCAAUAGUGUUCUUAUUUUCCUUUACUUGCUUUCUUCUGAUGUUGGUUGUGUUCUUGUUGGUGAACCGCCAAGUUUAUGCUCCAAUUUUGACUUUUAAAUAGCUUAUUCGCCUCUCAUGCUGUAGUAACAUGCUGAGGCUCAUAAAUCUGUGGUCCGAAUGUUGGUUUGAUGUGUUGUUCUAGCUUCCUAGCAACUCUUGUUUGGUGUGAAGUUUGAGUAUUAUAAAUUCUAAAAGCUUCCCUUUCUUUUCCAUCGUUUUGUAGCUGAUGUAUAAUUGCUUCUUGUCUUUUCAAAUGUUUUCUUCUUAUGUGUAUUAUCUUCUGCUAAUCUUGAACAUUAUUGAGCUUCUUGGUUAAUAGAAGACAGCUGACUUUGCCAUUCAUGUUAUAACACAUGGUGAGAGUUUAUGGACGUUAGGGGUUGGUUGUGAUAUAGUUUGCAUUCUGGGGUAAUAUGUAGAUCCUCAAAAAAAUUAGCAAUUCUAUUGUCGCCUAAGAUAUACGCAACAGGUUACUCAAAUACAUAGUUUUGCUAGAAAGAUGGAGAGCAAUUCGAUUGUUCAAAUCAUGGGUGGUGAAUUCCAUCAAUAAAGGAUGCUUUAGCGUGAAUACAUUUUCAUUGCAUAUUUUAUGGUAGGUUGUUUUGUAGUACUGUCCUCUGUAUUUUAUGGACUUGUUAUAUAGUGCUCUGCUGUGAAUUGCUCAUGAUGGUAGGGUGUUUUCUUGAUUGGCCAGUCCAGUCCAGUCAAAACUCGAGUUGGUAUUAAUUUAGUCCCGUAAACUUUCAUGUGCUUCCCUUUGUUUUCGUUUCUUUUGUGCUUUUGGAUGCAAAUUUGGCUCUUUUUCAUGAUAAUGCCUUGUUUCAAUUUCUUUGUAUGUGUUCCUGCCUUGAGAACUUUGAACUGGUGAAGCAUGCAUCAAAUCUGUCUUCUACAAGGAAAUAUAAGCCUAUUUCUCUUCUGAUCGUUGGGUUAUUGGCUGUCUGAAUUGGUUCAUCAGCAUUAUUGAUCUUGCUUAUCCUGAGAAACCAGUUGAUGUUUUUGGUCGAUGAGAACUAGUUGAUUGAAAACAGUAGAUUGCCUCUUGUGCUAUAACACAAGCGGAGAGACUUAUGACAUAGUUUGCGCUUCCGGAGCUCAGGUUUAGUGAAUUCAAACAAUGAGGAAUGUUUUGAUUUGUACACAGUACUCUGCUAAUUGUGUUAUAGCACCUGUUGUGUGUAUUGACGUGAUAUAUUGGACUUUGUAACUCCUAAGAUGUUUAAUGCUUUCUUUUUCUGGCUACGAUACGAUGCUUGUAUCCCUGGUUAUUGUUGAAUAUGUGCCGUACUUUUUUGUUUCCAUCCAUUAACUUGGGUGCUUUAGUGUUGAUUCUAGUGUUGCAUGUUGCCUACCAUAUUUACUUUGCAAUUUAUCAACUCCCUUGUGAUUUCCCAAAUGUUAAUUCUCGAACAAUAACUACCUAAUCUCUUCCAUGACUCUCUAGGUUUGUGCCUUGCUGAGACCAAGGCAUAUCAUUUUGAUGUUGAAAUGGGGAGUCUGGAUCUUCGCAAUUGAAAUAAGACAUUCUUGGUAACGUUCAAACGCUGUCAUGUUUGGAUUGACAGUUGCUUGGUAGAUGAAGAGGGGACAUGGAAUACAAGAUAGAGGCUGCUGCAUCGGCCAGACCUGAAUUGUUCUUGUGUAUUGUGUGCUUCUUCGCUGUGAUGUGCCAUUUUCUAAUUGUCUUGCCACACUGUCAUUGGAUAUUGCGGCAGAGCUUAAUUUGUUCGUAUUUCUUAGUUUUAGUAGCCUUACCACUUGCCUGUGUUACCGAUACAUCAAGAAGAACAGUUACAAGAGCUACACAGUAUUUGUACAAGUAAUGAAUUUUGUGAGUUCAAUUGUGCAAGGCAAACAACUUCGUCCGUGUAAGUUUAUCUUACAUUGCCGGUCUCAAGUCCGGAUAAAGGAGGAGGGGGAGGAUGUCAGGUAGUCGACAGCCGGCAUUCCUAGGUUACGUCGAAUCCUUAUAAAAAUGAAUCCAGAACGAAAUCACGCUAAAGCUAGGGCGUUACUCGUAAGUGAUGCGCUGUGUGGCCCGAGCACAGUGAUAAGUGAGUAAGGGUCGUUGUAUCUCCAUCGGCACCUAUAUGCAGUGUUAAAUGAGCAAGGGGGCCAUAGAAACUUCUUUUUGAACGACUCCACUCAAAGUUGUUUGGGAGCAUAUGCUCCUAUUAACUUUACACAAGACACACAGAAGAAGUACUUUGAUUCUAUUAGACGGGGAAGGUUGAAAAAGCUAGGACAGAAGGGUAGAGUUAAGAGAGUAGAAUGCGUUUAGGAACGUGGAAUAUAGGAACCCUAACGGGAAAAUCUAUGGAAGUAGUGGAAGUUAUGGUGAGGAGAAGGAUAAAUAUUAUGUGCCUACAAGAAACUAAGUGGGUUGGUCUUAAGGCAAAGGAUCUAGAAAACUCAGGGUUUAAACUUUGGUAUUCGGGCACAAAUAGAACAAGAAACGGUGUUGGCAUAAUCGUGGACAAGACCUUGACACAAGAUGUUGUAGAUGUCAAGAGGGUAGGAGAUAGAAUCAUGGCAAUCAAGAUUGUACUAGGACAAGAACUCAUCAAUGUGAUUAGUGCGUACGGACCUCAAGUAGGGUCCGAUACGAGUUCGAAGGAGAAAUUUUGGAAAGACCUUGGAGACUUGGUGCAAGGAAUUGCUUAGACGGAGAAGUUAUUUAUAGGAUGAGAUUUAAAUGGACACAUGGGCAAGGAGACAGGCAAUUAUGGAGGUUUUCAUGGUGGCCAUGGUUUUGGGGAGAGAAACGAGGAUGGGGAAGCUAUCUUGGAUUUUGCAAUGGCAUAUGAUCUCUUUCUAGCUAACACAUUCUUUAAGAAGAGAGAAGAACAUGUGAUCACUUACAAGAGUGGGUUGUCAAAAACACAAAUAGAUUUUCUUCUAAUGAGGAAAGGGGAUCGUAUAACUUGUAAGGAUUGCAAAGUUAUACUGGGAGAGAGCUUGGCUAAUCAACAUCGCUUGUUGGUGAUGGAUGUACAUAUCAAAAGAGAGAAAAAACAACAAGACUUGGAAAUGCCCAAGGACUAGAUGGUGGAAUCUAAAAGGAGAAAAACAAGCCAUUUUCAAAGGUGGGAUUCCAUGGCUAGUUGUAUCCGAAAAGUAGCAAAAGAGGUAUUAGGAGAGUCCAAGGGCUUUGCUCCACACCAAAAGGAAUCUUGGUGGUGGAAUGAGGAGGUACAAACAAAGGUGAAGGCUAAAAAGGAAUGUUGUAAAGCCUUAUACAAGGAUAUGACCGAUAAAAAUGGUGAAAGGUAUAGAAGAGCGAAGCAAGAGGCGAAGAAAGCUGUGAGAGAAGCUAAGUUAGUGGCUUAUGACGAUAUGUAUAAGCGACUAGAUACCAAAGAAUGAGAGUUAGAUAUCUAUAAACUAGCUAGAGCAAGGGAAAAGAAGACAAGGGACCUAAACCAAGUGAGGUGCAUCAAGGAUGAGGAUGGAAAUGUUCUUGCUACAAAGAACGCGGUCAAAGACAGAUGGAGAGGUUAUUUUCAUAAUCUUUUCAAUGAAGGACAUGAAAAUAGUACUUCUUUAGGGGAGUUGAGUAACUCAGAAGAGUGUAGAAACUACCCAUUUUAUCGUCGAAUCAGGAAGGAAGAAGUAGUUGUAGCUUUGAAGAAGAUGAAGCAUAGAAAAGCAGUGGGUCCAGAUGAUAUACCGAUCAAAGUGUGGAAAGUCUUGGGAAAGACAGGUAUAGCAUGGCUCACUGACCUUUUCAAUAGGAUUUUGAAAACGAAGAAGAUGCCAAAUGAGUGGCGAAAUAGCACUUUGGUGCCUAUCUGGAAGAAUAAGGGCGACGUACAAAAUUGCAUGAACUAUGGAGGUAUUAAGCUAAUGAGUCAUACAAUGAAGCUCUAGGAGAGAGUCAUUGAGCAUAAAUUGAGGUAAGAGACAUGGGUUUCGGACAACCAAUUUGGGUUCAUGUCAGGGCGCUCAACCAUGGAGGCAAUCUAUCUCUUACGAAGAUUGAUGGAAAGAUAUAGAGAGGGGAAAAAUGAUUUACACAUGGUCUUUAUAGAUUUGGAGAAAGCGUAUGAUAGGGUCCCAAGAGACAUUCUUUGGAGAAUUUUAGAGAAGAAAGGAGUACGAGUAGCAUAUAUCCAAGCUAUAAAGGAUAUGUAUAAAGGAGCAAAGACUGCCGUAAGAACUCAUGAAGGACAAACCGAAAGCUUCCCCAUAACUGUAGGAUUACAUCAAGGCUCAUCCUUAAGUCCUUACCUUUUUGCGUUGGUAAUGGAUGAGUUAACAGGACAUAUUCAAGAUGAUAUUCCUUGGUGUAUGCUUUUUGUAGACGAUAUAGUGUUGAUAGAUGAAACUCAGGAAAGGGUAAAUGUGAAGCUUAACCUUUGGAGAGAAGUGUUGGAAUCUAAAGGUCUUCGCCUAAGUCGAUCAAAGACAGAAUAUAUGAAGUGCAAGUUCAGUGCAAAUGAAGGCCAACAUGAGUUAGGGGUGAGGAUCGGAGAACAGGAAAUACCAAAGAGCGACUGCUUUCACUACCUAGGAUCUAUCUUGCAAAAGAACGGAGAAUUAGAUGGAGAUCUCAACCAUAGAAUACAAGCUGGAUAGAUGAAGUGGAAUAGUGCAUCCGGCUUGUUGUGUGAUCGUCGUAUGCCAAUGAAGCUUAAAGGAAAAUUUUAUAGGACGACAAUAAGGCCGGCGAUGCUGUAUGGCACAGAAUGUUGGGCAGUGAAGCAUCAACACGUACACAAAAUGGGUGUAGCGGAGAUGAGGAUGCUUCGUUGGAUGUGUGGGCACACGAGAAAUCAUAAGAUUAGGAAUGAGGAUAUCCAAGGUAAAGUAAAAGUAGCCGAAAUUGUAGGAAAGCUGAGAGAAAAUCGGUUACGGUGGUUUGGACAUGUGCAAAGAAGGCCUACUGACGCUCCGGUUAGAAGAUGCGACUACGGGAUAGAGGUUUAGGGCCGAAGGGGUAGAGGAAGACCAAGGAAAACUUUGGAAGAGACUCUAAGAAAGACUUAGAGUACUCGGAUCUAACGAAGGACAUGACACAGGACCGAGCACAAUGGCGUUCUAAGAUGCAUAUAGCCGACCCUACUUAGUGACUUGGAUUUUUCAAGUCUCCAACCAAGAAGUUUUCCUCACUCGAGAAAUUAAGGGAACACUACCUCAACCUACAUGCUUCACUCACAAAGCUUCAACAUACAAGCUUCAACAAAAGAAAAAUUCAAAGAACUUAGUGAAGAAGGCUUUGGUGUAUUUAACACAAUACGUUGAAAUGAAGCAAAGCUUAUUUAUUGAUAUCUCCGAUAAGUUACAAAUAUGUACAUAUACAUGAGUCAAAAUAAACAAACAAGAGGGAGUCUUCACAAAGGUUGCUUAGGAGAAGUCUCAGCAGUCGGUAGAGUCCCAGAAAGAGAAGGCACCGGAGGGUGAUCAUUCGGAGCCUCAGUACUGGACAGAACCCUAGAAGGAAGAGGCAUCGAAGGUUGAUCAUUUGGAGCUUCAUUACGCGGUACAGCCCCAAAGGACAAAUACACUAAAUGCCUUUGGAACAAACCCACAAACAUCCGAUGAUCAAGUAAAAUAUGACCAUCAGAUUCCUUCAUUUGGUCAAGCUUUCUCUUCAUGUUUGUAGCAUAGUCAUGUGCGAGCUUGUGCAACUGUUUAUUCUCAUGCUUGAGCCCUUUAAUCUCCUGCUUGAGACUUAUCACUUCAGCCGCCAAUGAUUAAACUUGGCGGGUUUGAGCAAAUAGGCGUUGGGCCAUAUUAGACAUAGAACCUGCACACUGAACACUGAGAGCCAGAGAAUCCAUAACAGCCAACUCAUCAGACCGUUUGGAAAGAAGUCUGUUAUCUUUGGGAGUGAGAAGGUUCCUGGCCACCACCGCAGCGGUCAUAUCAUUUUUCAUCACAGAAUCCCCAACGGUAAGAGGACCAGUAGGGGAUAAGAAGGAUGGGCGCCAUAUGUUGUUUGGAAAAGACGCGGCUGCCUCUUCACCAAGGUUCAAGUCAAAACGACGGUCGAAGGGGCCAAACAUUUUCAAAGGUGUUGAAGAGAGAAGAGGUCGGACAAAUUAAGAUCUUAGAAGUGCAAGAAUGGAGCUUUUACUGGUGGAGAUUCAAGUGUGCUUUGGAACUUAAUGCCAGCCUCUAUAAAAACUGCACUCGACGGAGCUUCAGAAAUCGAAGAGGCGCCUGCUCAAAAAUUGAAGAGGCGUUUGCUUUCUCAAAAGUUGGGCUGCUCAGAGACCAUGAGGGCCGAUCUCAAAAAUCGAAGAGGCGUUUGCUUUCUCAAAAGCUAGGCUGUUCAAAGACCACGAUGGUUGAUCUCAAAAAUCAAAGAAGCGCUUGCUUUCUCAAAAGCUGGGCUGCUCAGAGACCACGAGGGCCGAUCUUAAAAAUCGAAGAGGCACCUACUUUCUCAGCCUUGUCAGUACCUGUCAUAUGCACACUCAGCGUUGCGAAAAUUACAGGCAAUCUGUCGAAGAUUUCUGGUGAAGUAGAAAGCACGUGAAUCUUACCGUUCAAUCAUCCACUUUCCACACGCAACAUCAGCUCAUGGGUACCACAGAUAACUUUGCCAAAGAUCUCUGACAAAGUUUAGACACGUGAAGCUUGCAGCUCCCACUACAUCGCUAUGGCCAAGAAGGGUAAAAGAAUAGCAAAGAAACAGCACUAACAAAGUUUAGAUACAUAAAUUUUGAAGGUCUAGCUACCAUAUUAUUACCCACAAGGGUAAAGGAACAACACCGCUGCUGGAUAAUUGGAAAGUCCCUGUGUGUCAACCUCUGUACUCUGUGGCAAGGUAGACUAGCAAAAAUGCCUAACCUUUACUCACAUUCGAGAAAACACUCCCAACAAGAUUGCUUGCUCCAAAAUCGAAGAGGCACCGCCCUCCGAAUCUUGAGAGCCAAACUCCCAACAUAAUUACUUUCUAAAAAAUCGAAGAGACACCGCUCUCCGAAUUUCAAGAGCCAGACUCCCAGCAGGAUUGUUUUCUCAAAAAUCGAAGAGGCACUGUUCUCCGAAUCUCGAGAGCCAGAUCCCCGACAGGAUCGCUUGUUCAAAAACCAAAGAGGCAUCGCUUUCUCAACUUCGAGAAUCAAAUCUCCUUGGAUAAAGCUUGUCUGUAAUCUUCACACGCAACAUCAGCUUUCCAAAUACCACAUACCACUUUUUCAAAGUGCUCUGACAGAGUUAAAACAUGUGAAGCUGGCAGCUCCCACUACAGUGCUAUGACCAAGAAGGGUAAAGGAAUAACAUUACUACUUUUUAUUAGGGAGACUCCUAUAUAUGUCGACUUCCAUUCUCAACGGACAGGCAGACCUGCAAAAAUUCUCAACCCUUCCUCAUAUCUGAGAAAUCACUCCCAACGAAGCUUCUCGAAAUACUCAGCUUUCUUUCCCUCCGAUAAUACCUCUGCAAACAAGCUACACCAGAGCAAGAAUAUCUCAUAUCAUCAGGGUUAAAAGCAAGAGUAUCCCAUAUCAUGCUUUUUCCCUGUCUUUUCCUUUGGCCCUGUUCUUACCUGUAAGACAAGGAAAAAGAGAGCAAUCAGUCAACAC